rnacentral:tRNA from 1 species
UGUAGCUCAUUGGUAGAGUGCUUGCCUGGCAUGUAAGGUCCUGGGUUCAAUCCCCAGCA